GACAGAGGGGGCUAGCGUUGCUCGGAAUCACUGGGCGUAAAGGGCGCGUAGGCGGGAUGGCAAGUCGGUCGUGAAAUCCUCCGGCUCAACCGGAGAACGUCGGCCGAAACUGCCAUUCUUGAGGGAUGCAGAGGAGACUGGAAUUCCCGGUGUAGCGGUGAAAUGUGUAGAGAUCGGGAGGAACACCGGUGGCGAAGGCGGGUCUCGGAGCAUCUCCUGACGUUGAGGCGCGAAAGCGUGGGGAGCAAACGGG
rnacentral:rRNA from 1 species